GGUUGAGCGCAAGCUUUCAAGAUAACACUUCCGAGGGUAAGGAAGU
rnacentral:ncRNA from 1 species